UUUCUCUAGUUAUAUUACCUUUUACCUGGGUUGGUGAUAACUAGAACACACCAGGCUUGAAGAAAAAGCAUGCUCCAGAGGAAGCUGAGGCAUCCCUGCUUAAGAGCCAGUGGUUACAUUUUUCCUCUGCUAGGUCCUGGAUACUGUCUCCAUGGUGAUAACAGCUGUGCCAUGUCAUUAUCAAUCCACCAACAGAAAGAGAAGCUUUUAAGCCAAGAUAAUGUUUAGCAGACAGCAGGGUUUCUGCUGGACACUAAGUACUGCUACAAAA
ensembl:scaRNA LOC120099448 small Cajal body-specific RNA 13